GCCCCAGUACGGCGAGUGAGCGGCAAAGCUCAAUUUGAAAUCUGAGGCUCUCCAGCCCCCGAGUUGUAAUUUGAAGAUGGUGUUCUGGUGCCGGCGCCCUGUCUACGUUCCUUGGAACAGGACAUCGCAGAGGGUGAGAAUCCCGUGUGGCGGGGCGGCCUGGCUCCGUGUAGAGCGCCAUCGACGAGUCGAGUUGUUUGGGAAUGCAGCUCUAAGUGGGUGGUAAAUUCCAUCUAAAGCUAAAUAUUGGCGAGAGACCGAUAGCGAACAAGUACAGUGAUGGAAAGAUGAAAAGAACUUUGAAAAGAGAGUGAAAAAGUACGUGAAAUUGUUGAAAGGGAAGGGUAUUGGAUCAGACUUGGUGCUGUGCGAAUAGCGGCUCUUCCUGGGCCGCCCCACUCGCACUCCACCGGGCCAGCAUCGGUUUGGGCGGCAAGACAAUGGCGGGGGAACGUGGCACUGCUCUCGGGCAGUGUGUUUAUAGCCCUCGCUGAUGUUGCCUGCCUAGACCGAGGACUGCGGC
rnacentral:rRNA from 1 species